rnacentral:tRNA from 1 species
UACCCCUGAUGAGAAUCGAACUCACACCUACAAUUUCAAAGACUGGUGCUCUCAACCGUUGAGCUACAGGGGC